GGGGGUAGUUUUUAGUACGUAUACGCCAUGGAUGGCGAAUCGUGCAUGCUGCUGUUAAGAGCCAACAGUAUCUUUUGAAGAUUUUCUACCUCC
rfam:Glossina palpalis gambiensis isolate 146720 unplaced genomic scaffold Scaffold35, whole genome shotgun sequence.